rnacentral:rRNA from 1 species
UAGAUACCCUGGUAGUCCACGCCGUAAACGAUGUCUAUUUGGAGGUUGUGCCCUUGAGGCGUGGCUUCCGGAGCUAACGCGUUAAAUAGACCGCCUGGGGAGUACGGCCGCAAGGUUAAAACUCAAAUGAAUUGACGGGGGCCCGCACAAGCGGUGGAGCAUGUGGUUUAAUUCGAUGCAACGCGAAGAACCUUACCUGGUCUUGACAUCCACAGAAUUUCUCAGAGAUGAGGAAGUGCCUUCGGGAACU